UACAGAGGGUGCGAGCGUUAUUCGGAAUUAUUGGGCGUACAGGGUGCGUAGACGGUAAGUUAAGUCAACUGCUAAAUUCCCCGGCCUAACUGGGGACCAGCAGUAGAUACUGACAUGCUAGAGGGUGGAAGAGAGAAGUGGAAUUCUCGGAGUAGCGGUAAAAUGCGUAGAUCUCGAGAGGAACACCGAUGGCGAAGGCAGCUUCUUGGUCCAUACCUGACGUUGAGGCACGAAAGCGUGGGGAGCAAACAGG
rnacentral:rRNA from 1 species